GCCACAACUGCAUGAAGAAUCUUCUAUAAAAAAAAACUGCAUGAAGAAUCUUCUCUCAAAAAAGGUCCUUGAUGAGCCAGAACUCCCCGUGUCAAACGUUUUCCAGACCUAUUUGAUUUUUUUUAGACGUUAAACGUUUUUUAGACCUAAUAUAUUGAUGGGCCAACUCGAGCCGUUGGUUUAAUCAUGCAUCACUCUCGGGCUCUCGGCUUAAUUGUUUUGCAACCUGCGGCCGUUGAAAUGGCCCAUCUCUUUGUCCUGGUCCGUUGAAAUGGCCCAUCUCGCAAAUGGCCCAUCUCAUUGCCCUGGUCCAUGACUCCAUCCGGCCCCCCCUCAAAAUAAAAAUAAAAAAUGACUCCAUCCGGUCGUUCCACUAUUUCCCACGAGCUCGCCCUUGCUGAAGGAUUUACAAGAUCUAAUCGAGGAACAAAUAAGUUCCAUUGAGUUAACUCUAAUACUCACCCUGAUAACGGACAGCGGUGAGUGCUAAUUUGGCAUGUGAAACACGCUUUGCACUGAUACCUACUUCCAAUGUCCAACUUGUUUUUUUUUUCUGUUUUGAGCACACGUCCACCUAGAUGGGCCAGUUCGAAAUGGCCCACCCUUCCCCAACCUCUAGAUGGGUCAUCGAUCUUCUCGUCGGUGGUGGCCGCCACCUUCUUCAUCGGCGGCGGACCUGGCCGCGAGAUUCCGGGUCUCGCCGGCAAUGGCCGCCACCGUCUUCAUCGGCGGCGGCGUCAUCGGCAUGCUGGCCUGCCUCUACCUGGCCGUCGGCUUGCUCUGCGAGUUCAAGAAGAAGCACGCGUAGGAGAGUGGUAGUAUCAUCGGCGUA
rnacentral:lncRNA from 1 species